rnacentral:tRNA from 1 species
ACCUGGCUGGCUCAGUCGGUAGAGCAUGUGACUCUUGCUCUCGGGGUUGUAAGUUCAAGCCCCACGUUAGGUG